GACGAACGCUGGCGGCGUGCUUAACACAUGCAAGUCGAACGGAAAGGCCCUGCUUUUGUGGGGUGCUCGAGUGGCGAACGGGUGAGUAACACGUGAGUAACCUGCCCUUGACUUUGGGAUAACUUCAGGAAACUGGGGCUAAUACCGGAUAGGAGCUCCUGCUGCAUGGUGGGGGUUGGAAAGUUUCGGCGGUUGGGGAUGGACUCGCGGCUUAUCAGCUUGUUGGUGGGGUAGUGGCUUACCAAGGCUUUGACGGGUAGCCGGCCUGAGAGGGUGACCGGCCACAUUGGGACUGAGAUACGGCCCAGACUCCUACGGGAGGCAGCAGUGGGGAAUAUGGCACAAUGGGCGGAAGCCUGAUGCAGCAACGCCGCGUGCGGGAUGACGGCCUUCGGGUUGUAAACCGCUUUCGCCUGUGACGAAGCGUGAGUGACGGUAAUGGGGAAAGAAACACCGGCUAACUACGU
rnacentral:rRNA from 1 species